UACGUAGGUUGCAAGCGUUGUCCGGAAUUAUUGGGCGUAAAGCGUGCGCAGGCUGCUCGUUAAGUUGGAUGUUAAAUCCCUGAGCUCAACUCAGGUUUGGUGUCCAAAACUGGCAAUCUAGAGAAAGGCAGAGGUAAGUGGAAUUCUGUAUGUAGGGGUAAUAUCCGUAGAUAUACAGAGGAACACCAAAAGCGAAGGCAGCUUACUGGGCCUUUUCUGACGCUCAUGCACGAAAGCGUGGGGAGCAAACGGG
rnacentral:rRNA from 1 species